CAUGGCCGUUCUUAGUUGGUGG
rnacentral:ncRNA from 2 species